GGCAUUUUAAGAAAAUAAGAAAAUAAAAAUUUUGACGCAAGUGCCACUUUGAGGACAAGAUUUUUGACGCAAGUGCCACUUUAAGGAAAAGAUUUUUAAAUCUUGUCCUUAAAAUGGCACUUGCGUCAAAAUUUUUAUUUUCUUAUUUUCUUAAAAUGCCC
rnacentral:miRNA from 1 species